GAUGAACGCUGACCGAAUGCUUAACACAUGCAAGUCUUUGGCGAAGCUGUGCUUGCACAGCCUAGCCAAGGCGGACGGGUGAGUAACGCGUAAGGAACUUGCCCUGCAGUCAGGGAUAACAGACGGAAACGACUGAUAAGACCUGGUAAAGUCAGGCGGACUCAUGUCCAGCCUGAUGAAAAGAGAUGCUGCAGGAGAGCCUUGCGUCCUAUUAGCUUGUUGGUGGGGUAACGGCCCACCAAGGCGAUGAUAGGUAGCCGGCCUGAGAGGGUGGACGGCCACAAGGGGACUGGGAUACGGCCCUUACUCCUACGGGAGGCAGCAGUGGGGAAUAUUGGACAAUGGGGGCAACCCUGAUCCAGCAAUUCUGUGUGCACGAUGAAGGUUUUCGGAUUGUAAAGUGCUUUCAGCAGGGAAGAAAAAAAUGACGGUACCUGCAGAAGAAGCGACGGCUAAAUACGUG
rnacentral:rRNA from 1 species